GCAUAGCUGCCUUCCAAGCAGUUGACCC
rnacentral:piRNA from 4 species